rnacentral:rRNA from 1 species
AACGAACGCUGGCGGCAGGCCUAACACAUGCAAGUCGAGCGCUCACCUUCGGGUGGGAGCGGCGCACGGGUGAGUAACACGUGGGAACCUACCUUGAAGUACGGAAUAACUGAGGGAAACUUCAGCUAAUACCGUAUACGCCCUACGGGGGAAAGAUUUAUCGCUUCAAGACGGGCCCGCGUUGGAUUAGCUAGUUGGUGAGGUAAUGGCUCACCAAGGCAACGAUCCAUAGCUGAUUUGAGAGAAUGAUCAGCCACACUGGGACUGAGACACGGCCCAGACACCUACGGGAGGCAGCAGUGGGGAAUAUUGGACAAUGGGCGCAAGCCUGAUCCAGCCAUGCCGCGUGAGUGAUGAAGGCCUUCGGGUUGUAAAGCUCUUUCAGAUGGGACGACGAUGACGGUACCAUCAGAAGAAGCCCCGGCUAACUUCGUGCCAGCCGCCGCAGUAACAC